AAAAACAUUUUUUUACGGAGAGUAAAAUAGGACCUGCUCACUGUUAAAAUAAAGAGCUGCAGUAUUUUAACUGUGCUAAGGUAGCAUAAUAAUUUGUUUUUUAAUUGAGAACUGGAAUGAAAGGUUUAACGAUAUUUUUGCUUUUUUAAUUGAUUAUUUUGAAUUUUAAUUUAAAGUGAAAAUUCUUUAGUGUUCUUAAAAGACGAGAAGACCCUUAGAAUUUAACUAUUUAUUUUAAAGAAAAUUUACUAUUAAGUUAUUUUGGGAGAUUUAGUUUGGCUGGGGCGGUUUGAGAGUAUUUAAUUAACCUUUUUUAAAUUUAACUUUUAUUAAGUAGGGUUUGACCUCUUUAGGGGAUUAGAGUUAAUUACCUUAGGGAUAACAGCGUAAUCUGAUUUUGGAGUUCAUAUUUAUAAUCAGGUUUGUGAC
rnacentral:rRNA from 1 species